CAUUCCGGACUCAAUCAAUGGAUCCUAUUGAUUUUACCUAUGCUUAGAAUGCGCCACCACAGGUAAAGCUAACACUUUAUUCCACAAUAAUCGCCGAAAAUCAAUGAAAAUGAAUAUUUAAUGGGACAGGUUUCCAAAAGUUUUGUUUCAGCAGCUACUUAUUGUUAUUUUCUGCUGACGCCAUUAUUGAUCUGGGACCAUCACCGUGGCAGCGGGUCGAUCGCCGUAUAAAGACCUAUUACGUACCAGUUUCGCCCAACAUCCGUGCAGCACUUUUCAGAAAGUUUCACAAAUCGCUGCGUUCGUACAUAGGUCUCAUAUCUAACUUUUGGCACACAGUCAAAUAGGCUUUGUUGUGAUUGUUCCAAGACUUAAUCAUGACCUCGCGGGACAAUCGUCCUACCAGUGCUCAGUCACGCACGGCUUGGGGUACCGACAUGGAUUCUGGUUACGGUAGACCGGACAAUCAGUUCGAGUUUGGGCCCAGAGACGACCCGGAUUUACCAGUGGCAAUGGAAAACGAUAUAUACAUGGAUCGCGACAAGGGAAAAAACGAGGUGGCUCCUACCAAACCCACCGAGAACCAGGGAUGCUUCACCAAAUUCAGGAAGGGCGUUAGAUCUCUGUGGGCGACCAGGCAGACUGAGGAGACAAAGGGGAACCGAGAACUCCACGUGAAGACCACACUGAGAGAACUCAUCAUCUACCUGGUGUUCCUCAUCAUCCUUUGUGUUGUGACCUUUGGAAUGACCUCCACUACCAUGUACUACUACACCAAGGUCAUGAGUGACCUGUUUUUGGACACCACCCAUGAAUCUGGCGGUACUUUCAGGACAAUCACCAACGUUGAUGAUUUCUGGAAAUUUGCCCGAGGCCCUCUGAUCAAAGGUCUGCACUGGGAGACCUGGUACAACAAUGAACCCCUACCUCCCUCUGAACAAGGCUACAUUUACUACGAGAACAAACUGCUGGGACUCCCCCGUCUCCGUCAACUCAGAGUCAGUUCCAACUCUUGUGUGGUCCAUGAAAACUUCAAAGAUGUCAUCCGUGAAUGUUACGACUCUUACUCUGCCAAUCUUGAGGACAAGACUACUACGGCCAAUGCUGAUAACUACACAGCAUUCGCCUACAAGACUGAAGAAGAACUGGAUGGAAGCAGCCAUGAGGCAACCAUUGCGACAUACAGUGGAGCUGGAUAUGUUCAGAAUCUUGGCAAAACACAAAAUGAAUCCCUGGAAGUCAUAACAUAUUUGUUUAAUAAACUGUGGAUAACGCGAGGGACUAGAGUAUUGUUUGUUGAUUUCACUGUGUACAAUGCCAACAUCAACUUGUUCUGUGCCAUCCGGCUGAUUGUGGAGUUCCCAGCCACUGGUGGAGCCAUUCCAUCUUGGGAUUUCCGUACCGUCAAGCUGAUCAGAUACGUUACCAUCAAGGACUAUUUCAUCAUGGCCUGUGAACUUAUCUUUGCCCUCUUCAUCGCAUAUUACAUUGUUGAGGAAGCCCUUGAGAUCAAGAAACACAAGCUGUCAUACUUCAAGAGUCUGUGGAACAUUCUGGAUCUGACUGUGAUCAUCAUUGCCCUGCUGUGUAUUGCGUUUGACAUAUAUCGGACGGUGGAAGUAGACAACAAACUCAGCGAGCUCAUCAGUCACCCAGACCAGUAUGCUGACUUUGAGUUCCUCAGUUACUGGCAAACAAGAUUCGACAACGCCAUUGCUAUUGCUGUUUUCUUUGCAUGGGUGAAGAUUUUCAAAUACAUCAGUUUUAAUAAGACCAUGACCCAGCUCUCCUCCACCCUUGGUCGUUGUGCCAAAGAUCUGCUCGGAUUUGCAGUCAUGUUUUUCAUCAUCUUCUUGGCUUUCACCCAGCUUGGAUAUCUGUUGUUCGGAACCCAAGUCAAGGAUUUCAGCAAUUUCGGCAACUCUUUCUUCACACUGUUCCGUAUCAUCCUGGGAGACUUUGACUUCCAUCAGCUGGAGGCUGCCAACAGGUACCUGGGACCUAUCUUCUUCAUGCUGUUUGUCUUCUUCGUAUUCUUUGUCCUGAUCAACAUGUUCUUGGCCAUCAUCAACGACACCUACUCUGAAGUGAAGGGAGACAUGGCUAACCAGAUGAAUGAGUUUGAGAUGACUGACUACUUCAAGAGAGGAUACCAGAAGAUGGUAGACAAACUGAACCUGAAACGUGACAAGAUCCAGGAUAUCCAUGAAACCCUGAAACACGCCGACAUCAACGGUGAUGACAAACUCGACUUCGACGAGUGGAGACAGGACCUCAAAACCCGUGGUUAUGCUGACGGUGAAAUUGAGGCUCUAUUUGCCAAGUAUGACAUUGAUGGGGAUCGUGUUUUGGACAAAGAUGAACAAAUCAGAAUGCAAGAGGAUCUCAAUAACCAAAAGGCUGCUCUCAAUAAAGAAUAUGAUGAACUGGAGAAGACUGGAAACAGACCUGGAACAGCACGCAGGGCCAGCAGCAGGAUCAGCGAGAACGACGACAGCGGAGAUGAAAGCUCGGAAAUGGAUGAAAAUGGAUCCAAAUCUACCAGAUCAGGCAGAGGAUCAAAUGGUGUAUCAUAUGAAGAAUUCACAGUUUUAUCCCGAAGGGUGGAUAGAAUGGAACAUUCAAUUGGCAGCAUUGUCUCUAAAAUUGAUGCUGUUCUAGUUAAAUUAGAGGCAAUGGAAAAAGCAAAACUCAAACGCAGAGAAACAAUGGGCAAAAUAUUAGACAGCAUCACAGAGACCGAUGGCAGCAAUAGUGAUGAAAUAAAAAGAGAACAAAUGGAAAAAUUAGUCAGAGAAGAAUUAGAGCGAUGGGAUUCAGAGACGUCUUUUUCACCCAGUGGGCGCGGUGCCUCUCCCAGUAGUGGGAGCAGUGCCCGGGGGGUCAGAGCUAGAUCCCGACCAGGCUCCGGACAGCAUGGGAGUUUGGAAUAGUAAGUUUUAUAUAGAAUGUUCUGUUCGUUUAGACCUCAGAAGUGUAAUAUGGAUUACUAUGACUCCCGAGGGUACCAUGUAUGAACAAACGAAUUCGAACAAUGACGUUUUACUUUAUCAUUCCUGCCAUUGAGCUGAAUCUCGCAGUUUUCUAGCAGUUAUAUUGAGUGUCUGUAGCCGCUGCAGAAUUCCUAGCACUUCUUAAUGGGAUAACUCUCUGCUGACAUUCUCUGGAACCAUUUUUGUUGUGUGACUGUGAUAGAUAUAUUAUUAACAUUUUUAAUAUUAACAUAAGUGCUGAAAUCUUCUGAGCAUUUGACAAAUACCAUGAUGUUAGAUUUAGCUGAAUAUAAAAAGAAUUAAGAUUCUUUUAAAGAUCAAAGGUUUGAAGGAGACCAUCGGAAAAUGAGCAGAGCCACACCCACAUUAACCACCUACAUACAAAUCUGACAUCAUUGGACAAUUUGUCACAUGCUUAGUUCAAAUGUCCUGAUGGGGACCAACAGAAAUUUAUGCAAUUGCUAAACUGCUGAUAGCAUUGACCAUUGUAUCCUGCAUUUUGAUAAAUGUUUGGUGUUUUAUUAUAUAUAUUAUAUUUACACAUUUAUGAAAACCAGUGUGCUUUUGCAGAGUACCGUCCAAUACCAUCUUUAAUUUGUUUACCUCCUUAUCAACAGUAAGCUAUCCCAUUGUGAAUUGUGCAUUAUUUCUUUAGAUGCCUACAGUUUAUAAUUGUGAUGUGUUAAUCUAGUCUAUAUGUCUCCAUUGUUUUCAAAUUUCGAUUAUGACGUCCAAUUUACAGGAUUUCUUGUUUUAUAUAUUGUUGAACCUCCGAUCAAAUUUGUCUCUAAUUGCAUUUCCACAGAGCUUGUCAGACAUACUAAAACUAAACCUUGCAAUACAACCUGAGCUGAACUAAUUGCAAUACUUACUGUAUGUGAUCUUUCUUCUGUUUUUAUUGUGUCACUCUCAACAAUUCAUGAUUUGUUUGGUCAUGAAGCUCUAUCAACUCUCAAAGUCUCAUCAGAAAUCCGUCCAUGUCUGACGUUUGUAACCUCCGAGUCCCACUAUGAUCAAUGUCCAAACUAUUGAAGAAGAAAAAAACGAGGUCAAUUUGGCAAAUACCAAACCAUAAACCUAAUUAUCAUUUGUAAAUGGAUUGUGUUUUUUAUGUGAAAAAUAAUUUGUGACAUAAUAAUACUAGUAUACAUGUAUGUCUAUACUUUUGGAAAAUAUAAAUUUUGAUGAAGAUCACGUGAGAGUUCAGAGGUUACAGACGAGGUUGUAACCCUGUUGUGUCCGACCUUUGUGGUAGCUGUACUUAACUUGUUACCUAGCUAUUAAACUUCACUGCAUUGA